CAUAAAAUGAACGCAUUAUGCAACAUUGCGCGCGCUAUUCUAUACAAAUUUUCACGAUCGCUCGCCGCGCGUUAAAUUACGUCGAGAUACGGAAACUUGCAAUUUCUCAGGCUCAUCGAUUUAGACGAGAGACCUUACGAACAAUGAAAAGUUAAUAUUCAUUAGAGUAACGAGACACGAUAAUUCAUCACAAUCACCGGAAACAUGCAUGGAUACAAGUUCAGCGAAAUCUUGCGUGCGAAUAUCCUUAUCCACGCCCAGAUAGGAAAUAAAAAAAAGAAAGAGAAAAAUCACAUCCUUAUAAGCAUUUUCUAUUUCUUAUUAUUUUAUGGUGUAAUAAGUAUAGAUGAAGAACUUUAUAAUACAUUCAGGUAUAUUCUCAUAUUGUUUCUCCUUUUCAACAUAUAAUACAAAUUUAUUCAUAUAAUUAAAGUAUGGUCAAUAUUUUAGGGAUUCGUUUUAUUUAAUUACAGUACGUAUUCCACGCAAGCAAUUUGUUUUCAUAAAUCAUUUUUAUCAUCAAAAGAUUGCAAAAAAUCAAUUAUAAGGUGGGAAAGGAAACUAACAUGAAGGCGAAUAUCCGUUUAUAUCAGUAAUCGUAUCGGUUGUUAUGAAAAUGAAUUUCAACUCAACCAGCGAUUUCACAUUUUCAAUUCGCUUGAAGCUAAGAUGGUAAUCUACGGUAGUAUCGUAUCGUAUCGAGACUGGGUUUCCGGAAAUAAUCGAGAGUGGCACGAUGUACAAUUAAUUUCCGGAAGCGGACGGGCAGCAGUUCGCGUUCCGCCACCGAUCCUUCCUUUUAUGGAGUACUACCUUUUUUCCCUACCUGCCUCCGAAAAGAAAGCUCGCGUUCCUCUUGUUGAGAACUAACAGUCGAGCGAUUAAAUUGUGGAACGACAUCGACGCAGCUAUGUCCGAUUUGGUGGGAUAUACAAAAAUUAAUACCCGUGACAGCGUUCACGACACUGUUAUGCGUUUAUAUGCAUUCAUGUAGGAGUUUGGAAAUACUGUCGAUCCGAAUUAGCACAGCUAACUGUUUAGAGAAGAACGAAAUGUUCAAAUUUAUAUAGGAAUAAUUUAUAUGUCGGGUGAUGUAAAAGUAUUGUUGGCAUGUAACGAAUCCGUGAUAUUUGUUUAGACUACGAUGGAUGAGAAAAUUAUGAAAUAACAUAAUUACAAACAAUAGUGCUUUGCUAUCUGACUACAUAUCAAUGAGGUAUAUUUCUGAGAAAUCUUAAGUACAUAUCUCUUUUCUCUGUUAAAUAUACAUGUAUAUCUAACACAUUUCUUCCUUUUAAAGAUUCAUUCUAGGAAAUCAGCUCCAAAAACUGAUGAAAGUGGUAACUGUCAGUUAACGAAGUAAAAUUCCAACCAAUUAAUAAAGUAUUGCUGAUAGUAGAUAGUUGAUAGAAUAGUGUUCUCAGUAGGAAUAAUAAACCGAAAUCCUUAUGAUCAGCACUUUCUACUUUUUUACAACCGAAGCAAUUACAUAAUUUGAAUGUCGAAUAGGAUGAUCGAUGGUAGAAAGUUGAAUAAUAAGACCUGCUUCAUUUUUCAGAUACAACACGUAAUUUGACAUGAACCGGAAGAUUGAGUACUAUACAUAUCUACCAUCUACAAUACCGUAAUCAAUAGAUCAAACCAGAUAUUAAGGAUCUUUCUACACUUAGAAUUCGAUAGAAAGACUACCGAUAAUUUUCUCAAGCCUAGAAAAGAAUAACGGUUCCCGAUUGGAAGAACGAAUCGUGAAUUCGCACGCAAAAUAUUUCUCUCUUUCUUUCUCUUUCACUCUAAUGGGAAAGGACAUAAGCGUGUAAGAUAGACAAGGACAGAAGAUAUGAGCGUGCUCAGACGAUAAAAAAUGGCGGCACAAGUUCCUGCAAGCAGAACAAAUCAGGGACAAAAAAUAACAGUUUUUAAAUUUUUUACGAAAAAUUCCAACGAAAUAGAAUUAGACUAUUGUUUAAAUUAGUGUUAUUUGCAUUGAGGACAGUGAUCACUAUAUUUUAAAGAGAUUUGUCAAGAAAUUAGAUGAUCAAAAGGUAUUAAUCUCUAAAUGCCUGGUUACGAAUUCGUAACCAUUAUAUAUGACUAAAACUUUUGUAUGUUACAACAGCGAUAGUUUCUGGAAUAGUUCGAAGGAAUCUCGAGAUACUUCUAUAUUUAUAUAAGGAAUAUAAGGAAUCUCGAGGAACAAAGGAGGAAGCGUGAACUCGAAUAGCCAGUUGUGAGAAACGAAGGGACAAAGACGAAGGACACGUGCACAUUGCGCAUCGAGAUAAAUGGAAGAAAUAAUUAUAAGGAGCCGUCGAGCGAGGUGUACGAAACUUAACGAGCCGAGGACAUAACCUUCUGGAAAAAUUGAACUGCAAAGAGAUAUCAUUUCCCUAGACUAAUUUUGUAACAAGAUAAUAACAAGACAAUAAAAUGAAGAUAAAAAUAUUUGUAUGCAGGUGAUGAAAAUUUCUAGCAACGACGCAAUAAAUGGUAAUCGCAGCUAUAUGUUGGGUAAUAACAUUUUGUUUAAUGUGUUUCCUGCCAUUUUUAGGUUUGAAAGUGAGUAUGUAAAUUAUUCUAGUGAAACAAACUAGACAUCACUGAAUCAUCAUUAAUAAAAGCAUUGUCGAUUGAUGAAAGAUCAAAGUAUAUUUAGUAUUUAAUUGAACUUCGAUUUAGAAUGUCUCAAAUAUAUAACCCAUUUUUUUAUUAUACGAUAAAAAACUAAUAAAUUAUAAAAUAUGGACAAACUUUAUAUGUGUAACUUUGACAUUAAUAAUCUUUGCACUUUAAAAAUACUGUUUUUUAAUUCUACUUGUCAAAAACUCAUAUAAAAAAUCGCAAAUUCGGUACGCCUUAAAUCGGAGUUCAUAAAUUAUGAUAAAAAAAGUAUAGUUGAAACAUCUACUAAGAAGCAUGUAUUACGAAAAACAGCAUAAAAAGAUAAACUAUCGAGCACCUGUAAGCUAAUGAAAAUCAAUAUAUUCGUUAAAGAUUACGACAACCGUUUCUACGCACAUUGCGACACUCGGGAGCGGAUCUCCUUCUGAGGAAUCUCAAUGUAGCCUCAGCGUGGCCUCAGAAUGGCCUCAGGAUGGCCUCACCGACGAAGUACGCAGCUCCUACUUUGAAGGUGCAAUUCACUCGCAGAGAUGAGCGCUGCUAGUGGGAGGAUACGACAUUGGAGAAGGGAAGAGGAAGGAGGGUUCAAAAGGAAUGGGAGGAAACCGACUUGCAAAACUCGCAUCCGGAGUCUACGAAUUCUGACAUUGGCAAAAAUAGAAAUUAUCUCAUCACAGGUAGAGCUCACAGGUUGCUUUCGAAAUUUGUUGGUCAUUAAUUCCGAGAAACCAACGGUUCUUGGGAUCUUUGGGACAUGCUGAUGGUGACUUGUAUGACUCGGCAUUCCAUUCGUGUUUUCGUAAACAUGGAUGCUAUUUGGCGAGCUGAGGAUCAUGGUGAUGUUUCAAAAGAAUUUGUAUUUAGUCACACAUCUUGACUCUAUAAAGUAUUAUCCUACCAUAUUUAGUCCUAGAAUUAAUGAAGGUACAAUUUUAUUCUUUGUCGCAAUACGUUUUCAUAAUAUGAACAAAUAUAACAUGAAUCUUUGUAUUGAUAAAAGCAGAACAGAAUUUUAUAAAAAAAACAAUGAACUGACUUACACCACUAUGUUCCUCUAUAACCAACCAUUUUAUAAUAUCAAUGUAAUAUAAAUAAAUAUUACAACUUAUUAUACUUAAAUGUUUAUGUUGGAAGGUGAAACUGAUUAUUGAUACAUCGAGUUAUUGAAAAUGUAAUCUUUUUAGGUACAAAAAGGAAGGAUUGAUUAACAUUUCAGUUGAUGGUACGGUGAUCUCAAUCGGUGCCGAUGAACAGCUCACUUGUGCGUGGAGUUUUGACUCGUGUAGCCAUCGAAUGCAGGAAGGUGAGGUAAGAACAGAAUCAUGAAGCCAGAAGACUCAUGAAGGGAAAGGAGGCAGGUACGUAGGGAAAACGAUCCUUGGACGGCUCGUGGAAAACGAGUUGACAUUCCAGUGAACACCGAUGACGUUGUCCUUAACUGCGAUGUAGUCUCUCUUUUACUGGUUUGCGAUCUAAAUGCCGUCGAUCGAUUUCAUGUGCUCUUGAGACACUUUUUUUAGUUUCUUUCGUGCUCUCAUGCCAACCCUCCUUGGAAAAAUUUACGAAUUGAUGAGAAGAUAUUGAAUAUUAAUUGGUGUGUAAUCAUGAUAAAAACAUCUGAUAUAAAGGAGAUUAAAACAAAUUUUGUUUCAAAUUCCUAAGUAAACGAAAACAUAAACUAAAGAUGUUAUAAAUUAUGGAUGAUAAUUAAUAUGACAAUUGAAAGAGGAAUUUUUAUCGAGGCUAGCUGGAACGUUUCGGAAUUCUAAAACAUAUACAGUAGAUUUUUUGCUAACAAGAACUGUAAACACUAUAUUUUUCUAGCGAGGUAACUGCGCAGUCAACAAUUUGCGCAGCUAAACUUUCUCGAAUUCCUGUGUUUACAUUCUGCGUUCCUACAUGAUCUCACGGCUGCAUAUUGUUUCGCUAGUCUCCUCCAAGAAAUUACUCACAAUUCUGUUUACAAUCGUACAAAAGUAUACAUAAGUAAGAAAAAAAAGAAAUAGUUGAAAGAAGAAUGAAAUAUGGAUGGUUGUGAAACUUAUAUGUACAAAAUUUUGAUAAACCGUGGAAUGCCAAAACAGGUGAAGCGAAACAAAAAAACAAUAGCAGGAGAAGAAAUAUUUCUCGGAUUACUCCAGAGAAAAUGGUAGCGUUUCUAAGUAUGUACGUCGCAGUGACUGAUCGUUCUCAUUGAUGCGAGAUCUCUCGAGAGAGAGCAAGAAAAGAAAAUUUGUGGCGCGAUCGCGGGAGUAAGCGAAACUACGGAGUUAUAAAGAGUACACCAUCGCGCCAUUCUCCUUGACGUGUCUUAGAAAACAAGCUACGUUUCCAGCGGACACUCAUUCAGUUUUUGUUUCGUUCUCACUGUCUAGUCGCGUUUUCACCUGGGAAGAUAUUACGAGAUCCGACAGUAUUAUGUCGCAUGAUAGAGGCGAUAUGAUGAGGUGGAAUGACGAAUUUCGAGAAAGGAAUGCAAUGACCAAGGAAAAGACUUUCAUCGAGUACCAAGAAUCCGUGAAGAAAUACGUAAACACGACAGAUAAUAAUAAUGGGUUAUGUCGACAAUGCUGCCUCGAAAACAGGUUAGAACGAAACGAAUGCGCAUAAUCAGGAUGUAGGAGGAUAAAUGAACGAGCUUACAAUGCAGAAUUAUGCAGAUGAGAGAGGCGCAAUUUCUUCAGGCAUAAUUAAGAAAAACGAAGAGGCGAGGUACGCCGAUGACGUUGCUGCCAUUAAACUUCCUCUCACUAGCAUUCUAUGUAUAAUGAGCUGUUACGCCAUACACACGAUAUUACCGUAGAAUACGCAGGGAGGAAUACAAAUACAAUGUGGUGGAUGGUGCAGGAAGAGCGCGACGAUAAAAAAGGGAAAAAACAAAAUGUCCUUCGUGGUUGAUCGAUUGAACGAUUAUCGAUAGCUCUUCAAGCUGAAUGUUAUUACUGGAUCAAAUUCCCUCGAAAUUAUCCUAAACAUUAUAUUGACUUAUUCUCUUCGGACCUAAUUUACCUUCGGAUUUAAUUUUCAUCUAAUUCUCGACAAGCAUGCACACACUUUCGAUUUCUUUUAACGAUCACAUUAAUAACUUUCUGUCUAAUCUCAGGGACAAAAUUGGAAAGAUCCGUACACGAACCGUGCAAUCGCUUCACUGAACCAUCAAAAAAGAUCCGACAAUACAAUCUCCCUACCUGUUGAAUUGUCCGGGAAAUUUCCAGCUGAUGCUUCGGUCACGCACACACAAAAUCACUGCACCAAGAAGUCCGUAAAUCUCAGACGACGCAUCUCUGAGGCGGCGUCAUCGUCGUUCAAAGAAAGAAACAACAAGAUCGUACGAGUGAUUCCACUCCAGCUAUUGCCGAGACGCAAGAAAAGUAAACGUCUGUCCGCGCGAUCGGUGAACCACGAUGAUUCACUGGACAGUUGGAAGACGUGACUUUAGGACGUAGCCAUUUCGAUAUUGGGCGGUCAAUUGCGACGAUGCACGAUAAGAUCGUACAGUUUCGACAGGUGGUAGCUAUACACACAAAGAUACCACAGCGGUCGAGAAGGAUGCGACGGGGCCACGUCCCAGACUGACUCCAAGAAGCUCGGCUAGGCUCUGUUCGACUCGACUCACCUCAACUGCCUGGCAUUGCAAAGCAGCCGCGAGCGAAAACUCACUUUACGCUCUCGCACGGCCCCUUACGUUUACCCCCCGCCAUAUUACCGACUGCCUGCUUUCUUAAGGCUGCCUGCGAGUUCGCCUGAAUACCUGCUUCUAUGCCCCUUCUCCUGGUGCAUCGCGGCACUGUACCUCAGGCGCGCGCGGCGCCGCGGCCUGAUGUUUCUUCCUGCGCUCUCUGGCUCCCUCUGACAGGGAGACUGCAUGACAUUCAGGUCACCAAUUUGUCUCGAAUUCUGUGAACAUGAUUGAGAUAACUAAAAAUGAGUUCGAGCUUUUAAUCGCUCAUUUUAUGUAAGAAUGGAUCUAGGGAAGGACUAAGCAAAUGGACAGAUAUCGUAGUAUAGCAUUAUAUUGGGAAUAUUUUGGUAGUAUUAUUGUGUUUACAUUACAUGUUUGUAAAUAAUCUUAGAUAGAAGAGAAUAGAACAUAUUUGUACAGUUAUGAAUAUUUUUCUCUGCUGUUAUGCCUGAUUAAUAUUUGGCUACUCAACGUUUUUAUUAAUUGAUUAUUAUCUAAAUGAUAACAUGGUCUAUAAUCUCGCGUACAAAUUGGAAUAUCUAAAAAAAUCUUCUAGUUCACAUCUGUAUGAAUAUAAUCUCUGUAAUGACCUUGACCUAUAUGUCGCAUGUUCAAAUUUGGAAGUCGUACUUGUUGUCACCAAGGUUACCAACUCAUCUCACAGACUGUCCAAAUCCUUUUAUCCGAUUCUACAACGUGAUGUUAACAAAAAUGAUAUUAAAAUAUUUUUCAAAACUAUCAUCUAUCUUUGAUAACAAGAUUGUAUUAUUAAAAAUAAUAUAACCAUUCGCCAUUAGGAUGCAGAAGGCACAAGAUGUUUACGACGAUUAUGGAAAAGCGACGUGAGUUCGGCCGAUGAAGUAAAAGAAGGCAACGAUCAGCCGCGAAACUCUACUUGCUCAACGAGUUUGCGUUUCUGAUCGCGAAAAAUUUAUGCAAUUCAGCCUUCGAGGCAAAUCAGUAUUCUGAUAUCGUCGACCCAUCGGGAGAGGUAUCCUUCGAACGAAAACUAAAUUUCAUUCAACUUCGAUUACUCGCGUAGUAAACGUGCCCGUCAAGCGCAAAUUAGAUCUGCUGUUUAUACCAGAGCCUGUACAUUUUAACUUGUAACAGCAUGAGCAAAACCUCUCUAUCGGAAUGGAAAGCGAGCUGUUCAGGCACGCGGCGGUCUACAGCUUGAUCGAGUGGUGUUCAUUCGCGCCUUAGGCUGCGUACAGACUGGCAAACAGGUCUUGCGCUCUAUGCCCGGUAAAAGUUUGUUACCAAAUGGUAUCGACGUUUUGAGAAGUUAUAAAUUCUUUCUAGGAAAUUGGAAUUUGAGAAAAUUCUAAGAACCAAAAUAAAUAGUCUAAAAUUCGAAAUAUUUGAAAGUGUAGGCACCAUAAUUCGAGUUUUAAAGGGAAAAUAGGAAUAAAUAGUCUAAAGAUCCAAAAGCUCAAAAAAUCCAAAAUCGAAGAAAGUCAAAGUACAUAAUCCUAGAGUGAAAUAUUUCGAAGAUAUCAGGAUUCAAGAAUGCAGGAGUCAAAUAAUCCAGAGAUACAUACAACCCUUUUUGUUCAGUAUCUAACUAAAUUACCGACCAAAUUAUCUGUCCGCAAGUGUGUACGGUAUCAUGUCGCAGUAUGUAGUUGAUCUCUAAUCGAAAUGCUCUACGCGUGGAUAAUUUUUCGCUAGUUAUCGCUCUGGAAAUGCUUAAUUACUGAGUCACCAGCGAGGCAACAUUUUGCAAUCUAAGAUUAUUGGAGUAUCAGUUGCACAUAUUUCUACACAGCCUCUGAUUUCAAUUAUAAAAAACUACUUUACUUCUGAUAGACCGCAGCUCAUAACAAAUGCUUAGUGAAUUAUAAAAUUCAUUUCUUUUCAGAUUUUCUAAUAUUUCGUCAUCUCCAAACAAACAUGAAAGUUGGAAGUAGAUAAUUUUUAAUCCAUUGAACGUUAAAUUUAAUCAGAAGCUUCUUCGGAAUUUCAAUUUCAAAAUUUCCAAACACUUAUCAUUUCGGUAUAGAAUUAAGAAUAAUAGAUAGAAUGAGUACACGAAUUAAGAAAUUUUUAAUCAAUAGAAAAAAACUUUAUCAUCAAACACUUUCUCAGACUUUCAGUCCUUUAGUCAGACACUUGUUAUCCAGAAAAUUGUACAAAAUCCAACACACGUGCGGCGUAAGAUCUGUUUACAUUGAACUGUUGAUAGGUUAGAAAUAUGAACUUUACCAACUAUAUUUCGAGAAAGAAGUAACCGGUAUCCGAUUUUCCGGCAUGUAGCCAUGGGGAAACUAGAAUCAGUAAAGAGCGAACCUGGAAGCCGACGUACAGCUCCAUGGCUAUCCUCGAAGCAAGUCAGAGAGCCGGUCAGAGGGAGAGGCCGCAUUCCGAUCCACGGAGAAAGCCUCUCGCGCAUUUAACCACGAGAUGACCGCCCAGAGGUCGCGUAAACGAGCUCCAUGGACCCGUUAGUUCGAUUCGUAUUCGUGUAUAUCUAACCUAAAAUUAUUCCAUUCCAUUGGUUUUUUCAUUUAUUUUCUUCAAUAGAUCAUUGGUUGCCUAUCCAAAUUGCUUCUAUGCAAGUUGAAGUAUUCACCUGAGGUACAUUUAGGACGAUUACUGUAAUACUUUUGUGCUACAUAGGACGAUUAUAAUUUAUAGUAAUAGUAUACAGAUAACCAUUCGUCACCAGGAUGCAAAAGGUGUUAUCAUAUAAGAUUAUGAAAAAGCAAGCUGAUUCUGACUGAUGAAAUAAAAGAAGAUGAACCGUGAAAUUAGAUAUAUGUAUUCUUAUAGGUUUAUUAUUAGUAUUAUAAUGUAGUUUUGUUGUUGUUAUAUUGUAGUCCAUUAUUGUAAUUUAGUUUAUGUUGUUAUGAUGUAGGGCAUUGUAUUGUGUUAUGCAGGAGAAGUGUGGAGUUAAGUGUGAAUAGGCAGUGAAAAAUAUUUGACCGUUCAAGGCCACUAACCCCACUAUUCGUCGUAGUAGUUCUCUUAUUGAAAGCUAUAUAACGUGUCAAUCUCUCUCUGUUUAUGCCGUAUUCUUUCAUAUGGGUGCAUUCAUAAAAAUACGAACUUGCAUAACUAUGCACAGUUCAUUAAUUAAGGAUGAAUAUCCAAUCAAUCUUAUUUCUUUUAAUAUCAAAAAUCUCUAAAAAUCAGAUAUCAAACAAUAAUCAAUGUUUCAGUGCUUCAAUGGUACAACGAGGGAAGACCAAUCCCGAAACGACUGGUUCAGCCAGAUCCCGUUGCUCCCACUUGCCGCAACGAAGACGCAUUUGAAUUCAAAUCGGGGAAAGUAGGAGGUUGAAAUGUUUGAGGACGUUCGGUACACCGUACACCUGCCACAAGGUGACUGCAUUCCACAGCGAGGCGGAACGUAAGUAGCCGGGAUCCGCGCUGGAAUGUAUGUCGGAUUUGCUGGAAUACUUCACGAGCCGCUAGCAAUACGUUGGCCAAUUAUAUGUAUCGCACGCGGCACGGCCGCGUGCGCAUAUCGUUUGUUUUUGCCCAGGUCGGCCUACUUGCGUCGCGUAUGAUUAACUCGCGCGAUUCAGUCUCUGGUACGCUCUUGCUAUCCGUGAAAUUGACCAUUGCUGGUCAGGUGAAAUUUUCGAUGCAUCUUCGCGCAACGAACACUACCGUCAUUUCUCUUCUUCGCUCUUUUGGUCUGUCUUGGUUUCUGUUCCUGGCACAGAAAUAGGUUAGCUUCUUUCUUUUAAGGUUAUAAUUGUAACAUUUUGUUAUUAGAUAUUGAUAUUAUAUUUUUCAUUACCUUAUCAUGUACAGUUGGGCUUCUUUUUAUUUGUGAUCUUGCAGGAUUCUACUGUUAUUUUAGUGACUUUCCACACUCUUUAUGUUCUUUUAACCACCCUUUUUAGUUCUCUCUACUGUUGGCGCAUUAUAAGCCACACUGCAUUCUUCAAUAUUUUCUCUUUCUUUCAUACUGUUAAAUCUAUGGUCUCAUUAACUACUAUAUAUAAUGCUAUAUAACUCUAUAUAGCAUAAACUAAUUUCAUAUUAUUCUAGCUUAAAAAUUAAUCUAUAUAAAAUAUUUUUAUGUUUUUCAGUUCAAUAAUCACUUAUUAAUAUAAAAUGUUUUAAUGUUCCAUAGUCUAGCAAUUUCUUGCUAAUGGUUUCACCAUUUAUGAAUUCAAUUAAUAAAUCAAGGUCAUCAAGGAUCAACGCUAUAAAAUUCCUCCAAUUUUAUAAGCCUAGUAAACUAAUCUUAUAGAUGCAUUUUUUUGUUAUUAAUUCCAGCUCAGACUGUCACCACCUCACCGCAAAAAGUCCGAUACGCGUGACGCUAUAUAACUUCGCAUAUCCAACGAUCACUCAUCGGGAUCUCGUAAGAAUUUUCUUACAAAAGCCCGUGUACUCAAUAAUAGGCACAACACGAGUACCGGAGGCGCGAUUGAAUAAUGAAUUCUUUGCAUUCGCGUUCCUCGUAGCCGGAUAAGAGGGUUCCUUUGUUUCGUGACACCAAUGUUUGCUCGUUGAUUCUCUCUAUUUGGAACGUUAUUUGGACGUAUCUACAAAGUGUCCAGCAUCCAGAAUGGCCGAAGAUACGGUGGAUAGAAGCGGCUAGAGAAGAAUGCGUUCUCUUUCCACGCCGAUCGGCGUGAUUCGCGCAUGAAUCAGAUUCCAUGUAACGGGAAAACGAGAUUUCAUUCAGUCCCGUGAUUUAAAUGAGACGAAACGCACAAGGAGAGGUCAAGAUUCGUUCUGGAUAGCAGAAACUUUGCCGAGUUUUACCUGAAAUAAUGUAUCCAAUCCUCAAUAUAAUCUUCAUCUUUUUUACACUUAACAUUGUUACACUGUGCAAUAUUAUAUUGGAUUAUCAGAUAAGUCUUGAAGCUUUUCUAGUAUGAAUUAUACUUUAUUUGAACACUUUGUAAUAAUAUAAUUAAAUCAAAUAUGCACCACUUUAUUCAAUAAUAUUCUGCCACCUAUUGAAUAAUUCCAUUAUGCCAUUCAUACAGAAUUUUUCUUCUUUCUGAGCAAAAAUGUGACCUCUGAAAGGUUUAAGACUUAUCUGGCAAUCCAAUAUUUAAUACUGCCACGUUUAACGCUGUUGAGGUUUCCGGGUGAGAGCCGGGUGAAAAGAUUCCCGUCGUCUCACCAACAUUCUAUAUACAUACAUAGUUAACUUCAAGGGGUCAGGAAACGCAUCGAACAGUGUUUAAGCAGUAUUAAGUAUAAUACUACACAGUGUAACAAUGUAGCAGUAACAAAGUGUGACAAUUUAAACCGUGCAAAGAAUAUUAAAGCUUUCAUCUUUUUUUUUGCAAAAUAGAGAAGUUAUUCAUCUGUUAAAAGUAAAUUGGUUUCAGCUUAUUUCAAUGAGUUCAACAUAUUCGAAGUUAAGAAUCUUUUACUAUCAAACAUAGUCAAAUUUUUAACAUUACAUAAGUUGACGUGAUAACAUGUUACGGGGGGCUGUAAGGAAUGCCUCCGCGGUCCACCACGAAGAAAGGGCAGAAGGACUCCAUGAUUCUGCCUGCAGAAUACGUUUCCAUGACAGUGUCGUCAUUAAAACAUCGACGAAGGCGCUAAGUAUAUAUGGAAUGGCAAGCAGUUGCGUGUGCGUAGCUCAAUAUUAUGGCCAGUGGGUCUGCCAUUCCUUCCAUGGCCAUUCUUUCCUACAUUCCACGGCGCACGAACACCUUGCACACCUCGCAUGUACUCGAGGUGCCUUUUUUGAUUGUCUACAUCUCGGCCCGAACGCUCUUCAUUUGUACUUACAGCGUAACGCCAUGCAGUCGCAUCACGGUUAAAUACUAUUUACUUUGUAGAGUUGACCAACCUUUUUCUUUCGA